AGCGAACGCUGGCGGCAGGCUUAACACAUGCAAGUCGAGCGGGCACUUUCGGGUGUCCGCGGCGGACGGGUGAGUAACGCGUGGGAACGUGCCCUCUGGUUCGGAAUAACUCAGGGAAACUUGAGCUAAUACCGGAUACGCCCUUUUGGGGAAAGGCUUGCUGCCGGAGGAUCGGCCCGCGUCGGAUUAGCUAGUUGGUGAGGUAACGGCUCACCAAGGCGACGAUCAGUAGCUGGUCUGAGAGGAUGAUCAGCCACACUGGGACUGAGACACGGCCCAGACUCCUACGGGAGGCAGCAGUGGGGAAUAUUGGACAAUGGGCGCAAGCCUGAUCCAGCCAUGCCGCGUGAGUGAUGAAGGCCUUAGGGUUGUAAAGCUCUUUUAUCCGGGACGAUAAUGACGGUACCGGAGGAAUAAGCCCCGGCUAACUUCGUG
rnacentral:rRNA from 1 species